UACGUAGGGUGCAAGCGUUACUCGGAAUUACUGGGCGUAAAGCGUGCGCAGGCGGCUAUGCAAGACAGAUGUGAAAUCCCCGGGCUCAACCUGGGAACUGCAUUUGUGACUGCAUGGCUAGAGUACGGCAGAGGGGGAUGGAAUUCCGCGUGUAGCAGUGAAAUGCGUAGAUAUGCGGAGGAACACCGAUGGCGAAGGCAAUCCCCUGGGCCUGUACUGACGCUCAUGCACGAAAGCGUGGGGAGCAAACAGG
rnacentral:rRNA from 1 species